rnacentral:rRNA from 1 species
UACGUAGGGUGCGAGCGUUAAUCGGAAUUACUGGGCGUAAAGCGUGCGCAGGCGGUUCGUUGUGUCGGCGGUGAAAGCCCCGGGCUCAACUGGGGAGGGUCACGCGAUACUGAUCGACUCGAAGGCAGGAGAGGGUAGUGGAAUUCCCGGUGUAGUGGUGAAAUGCGUAGAUAUCGGGAGGAACACCAGUGGCGAAGGCGACUACCUGGCCUGUUCUUGACGCUGAGGUGCGAAAGCUAGGGGAGCAAACGGG